rnacentral:misc_RNA from 1 species
GAAGCCCUUGAAUAUUUUAGAAAGGUAAUUGCCAUGGUCUUCCAAAUCUGUUUACUAGAAUACUAAGAGGUAUCCAGCAUUCUUUUUAUCGUCCUCAAUUCCUAAUCCAAGCCAUACCUUGUUAUGCUGGAAAGGGUAUGUAAAUUCAUCUGCUUCGUCACAUAAUCAGACCUGUGUUCUUUUUAACUGUCACUGCCAUGCAUUUGUAUGAAAACCCAUCAAACAUCCAUCUUCUAAAACUUAUUGUCUGGGAUCUUGGUUAAGUUCGGGUGAUUAGAACAAUUCAGGACUAUAGAUUCUGUGUGCCAAUUGUGGAUUUUUAUGGUUUUUGUUGAGAUCCAUCUCUUUGUUACUAAAUAUUGGUGCUUUUCUUAACAAUCUGAUGACCAUAGUUUACAAAUAGAGCAUGACUUUAUGGCUGAACUGCUAAAAUUAAAAU